CCUACGGGGGGCAGCAGUGAGGAAUAUUGGUCAAUGGGCGCAAGCCUGAACCAGCCAAGUCGCGUGCGGGAUGACGGUCCUAUGGAUUGUAAACCUCUUUUGUCGGGGAGCAAGGCCCGCCACGUGUGGCGGGAAGGAGAGUACCCGAAGAAAAAGCAUCGGCUAACUCCGUGCCAGCAGCCGCGGUAAUACGGAGGAUGCGAGCGUUAUCCGGAUUUAUUGGGUUUAAAGGGUGCGUAGGCGGAAGGUUAAGUCAGCGGUAAAAUGUCGGUGCUCAACACCGGCCUGCCGUUGAAACUGGUCUUCUUGAGUGAGCGAGAAGUAUGCGGAAUGCGUGGUGUAGCGGUGAAAUGCAUAGAUAUCACGCAGAACUCCGAUUGCGAAGGCAGCAUACCGGCGCUCAACUGACGCUGAGGCACGAAGGCGUGGGGAUCGAACAGGAUUAGAUACCCGAGUAGUC
rnacentral:rRNA from 1 species